rnacentral:lncRNA from 10 species
UAUUUGAAGAGUAUUUUAUUUCUGUAUUGAAAAUGUUACACAAAGCAGUAAAGUUUUUGAGAACUAGUGAAGUACUAAUUAUCAAGGACAUUUUGAUAAAACUGCCAAAGUUUGGGUUUAUAUCUUCCCUUUGAGCAGCAUUCUAUCAGUGCUGCCUUUAGCUAUACUCAGAGAGCAGCAGUUGAGGAAUAGGUUUUUACUCAAAAUCUGGCCAUUUGUGAAUCCUGUAAACCUUGUGAUCUUCAAUUACUUUGAUGUUAAAUUAAACACAGACUCUUCUAUAAAUAUUUUCAUGAGAUACUGUGUUACACAAAGUCCUUGUUUUAACUUAGGUAUGGGUAAAUUUACAUUGGUGGUAUUGCAGGAAUUUUUCAAAAACAUUACUGUAAUGAAUAACUGAGUUUCCUAUAGAAGAACCUGAAUAAUUACUUUUGUAGUAACCAAGCAAGCAUCAUAUCUUAAGUAUGUGAUCAUUUGCACUUGUUACCUCUUAAUAUGGAUGCAACUUAUUAAAAAUGUUGGCCUGGGUAUUUCAAAGGGUAUAUAUAAAAGGUAAAAAACUAGUGUGCCAAAUGGUAUAGGAACAACUGUACUUUUUUUGAUCAGUUGGCAUGAAGCCAUAGAAUUAAAUUUUGGCUUUAGAAUACAGAUGUGUUCAUUACAUUCCCCAAGGGUCAAAUUGGAGCUUUUAAAGAAUUAAAGCUUCUAUGAGUAUAUGGUUUAAGAAUUAAAUUAUUAGUAAUUUAUUAUUUUAAAUAUUUGACCUCAUUAGUUGUUAAUUUUUUAGUUGGAUAAAAAAAAAACUCGCUGACAUAAUCUCCCUAGUGAAAACUUGGGUAAUAUAUGUAAGAAAUGGCAAAUAAAUACCUUAGUUAAUGACUUUUUAUGUAGAAAUUUGACAGCAUUACAAAUUAAGUGACCAUUAAAAACACAGCAAUCAUUCAUACUGCUUUCAUAGGUGUUAUGAUAGUCUCUGAUUAAUCAAUCUAGUAUGAAUUAUUUUACAAGUGUUGUCCUGUUUCAUAUCUUUGAAGUAGUAGUGAAAUUGUAGGCCAUUUUCUUAUAACAUUUCAGUUACUUUUCAGUUAAUUAUUCCUUUAAAAAGAAAAUACAGCAGAACCUCACUGUAGCAUUCUUUACUGCAGAGCAAAAUUCAAUUUAAGAUGGGCUUCUCUGAGGUCCACAUCAUGGCAGUUCAUUUACUCUUGUGCCAAAUGGCAACACCACGUCUAAAGCAGUUUCACAGCAUGGUCCCCUACAAUGUUAUACCAAGGCUCUGAUGUAUUUCUUUUAGUAGUUUCUAAGUGUAAAAUUUAUUCUAAAUGUUUUUAUGGCUAUUAUCUAUUUCAUCAGUUAUUGAAUUAAGAAUGAUUUUCAUUACUUGAGUGGGAUUUGUGAUUUAAUGACAGUUGAAUAAUCAAAAAUAUUUUAUUAGGCCCCCAAAAUUUAAUAGAUAUCUAUUUCUGUUACAUUUUAUUACUGUAUGGCACAAGAAAGAAGUGACAUUGGGUAUGUUAGAAAUGAAAUAAGGAGUAAAAAUGCAUUACCAUUUGUUUAAUAAUUAUCUUUACAGAAUGCUAGUUUAAUGACUUUUUUAACUGAAUUUUUUGAAUAAAUCAGAAAUGUUUGUAUUG